ACGCAAUAGAUACCCAGGUAGUCCACGCCCUAAACGAUGUCUACUAGUUGUUGGGAGAGUAAAAUCUCUUAAGUAAACGCAGCUAAACGCGUGAAGUAGACCGCCUGGGGAGUACGGUCGCAAGAUAAAAAACUCAAAGGAAUUGACGGGGGCCCGCACAAGCGGUGGAUUAUGUGGAUUAAAUUCGAUGCAACGCGAAAAACCUUACCUGGCCUUGACAUGCUACUAACGAAGCAGAGAUGCAUUAGGUGCCCGAAAGGGAAAGUAGACACAGGUGCUGCAUGGCUGUCGUCAGCUCGUGUCGUGAGAUGUUGGGUUAAGUCCCGCAACGAGCGCAACCCUUGCCAAUAAUUGCCAUCAUUUAGUUGGGCACUUUAUUGGGACUGCCGGUGACAAACCGGAGGAAGGUGGGGAUGACGUCAAGUCCUCAUGGCCCUUAUGGCCAGGGCUUCACACGUAAUACAAUGGUCGGUACAGAGGGUUGCCAAGCCGCGAGGUGGAGCCAAUCCCAGAAAGCCGAUCGUAGUCCGGAUUGCAGUC
rnacentral:rRNA from 1 species